AUUACUCUCAGCUGAGCAGAGCUUAAUUCGCCCAUGUGACAUGUUCAUGGACAUGUGAAGUCAUGUGACUUGACUUACUACCUUUAAAAAGCUAACAUAGGUUCUUCGCUCAGCAUUUGUUCGUUUUCAUGCUUGGUCUAUUUUGGAGUGUCUUGCUCUCUUGACUGUGUUUAUUUACACGUUGUGAGAUGGAGAGAUUCUAUUUCUUUUUCUUGAUUCUGUUUCUCUGGGGGAAUGCUAGUGGAAUUGGAGUCUGGGAUGGACGACCUGCUCAGGACUGGAGACGUGGUGGGUUUAAAAGCCUUGAAGAUCCACCUUCUCUUUUCCCCAGCCCAUCUUCAACACCUCCUAAAUGUGCUUAUCGUAGGAGACCAAGCCCUUUUAACAGUGUGUCUCCACAUUUGAAGCCUCAAGGCCCAACCUACGGCCCUGGAUACUGGUCUGGGCAAUUCAAUAAGCCUGUGCCUCAAUCACAGGGAGACUCCCUGUAUCAGCAAGACAACUUUGGGGUUAUUGACUCUUCUAAAAGACUGAGCAGUCAAACAUCACCUCAGAACCUCCAGACCCAGUAUGCCCCUGCAUCAAAUCCUGUGGCCACAUCCCAGAGUUCAGCAAGUGCAUUUAAGUCACCACAACAAGGUAGCUAUGGUGUUUCAUCUAGUUGGCAUGCUUUACAGGGGCAAAGCAUUCCAUUAGCCUCUCAUUCUAGACUCCAAACCCAAGCAUUAAGGCUUUUGCCCCCAUCCCAAAGUUUAGCAAGUGCGCCAAAGCUGCCACCACAGCAAGGCAGCUAUGGUAUUCAGUCUGGAAACUUUGCUUUAUGGAGGCAGACCAGCCCAUCAGCUUCUGGUUCUACACUCCAGACCCAGACAUCAAGCCUUGCGACCCCAUCCCAGAGCUUGGAAAGUACAUGGCUUGCUUCACAGAGGCAAAGAAUCCCAUCUUUUCCUCAGUCCAUUUUUGAGACAUCAAGCCUUGUGGCCCCAUCCCAGAGUUCAGCAAGUGCGUCUGAUUCAUCACGGCAAGGCAGCUAUGGUGUUGCAUCUAGUUUUUAUACUUCACAUGGGCAGAGCAUCUCAUCAGAUACUCUCCCUACGCUCGAGAACCAGGCACCAAGGCCAGUGACUUUGUCCCAGAUUUUAGCAAGUGCUUCUAAGCCACCACAGCAAGGGAACUAUGUUGUUCCGUCUGGUUGGUAUGAUGCUUCCAUGGAACAGAGCAAUCCAUCAGCUAGUCAGUUGAGCCAGUAUGCUCCAGCCUUUAAAACCCAGUCAAGCAGGCUUAUGCCUCCAGCUUCCAAGGGUUUAGCAAAUCUGUUUCCUUCUAUUUCUCAAAGCUCACCUGACCAGACUGUCCCUGUAUUUUCGGCUCAGCUCCAGACUGCUGAGACCAGAAAUGCAGCAGAAAUUGGUCCCCCUAGCUUGUAUACCCCUUUGCAGGGCCAGGAUGUUCAGGCAUCUUGGUUUGAUGCUCUGAACCAGGUCCCUGCUGUGCAAACCCAGUCGUCAUAUAAGCCAGUGUUCCAAUCACAGGGGUUAGAGAAUCGAUACAACUUUCCACCUCAAACUUGGGUCAGGGCUGACCCUUCAGGACUUGCUCAGUGGUAUAGAGUGACUAAUGCUGGACUUGAGCCUGUGCAGACCAUUGAACCAUUGUUUCCAUUCCAGAGUUUAGAGGUUCUCUAUAACCAGGCAGCUUUAGGUAACACUCCACCUGUAUCUCAAAGCCCAAACAGUCCAGUAUCUUUUGGCUUUGCCUCUCAAAACCGAGGGACUCAAACUUCAACUCAAGCUUUAUCCCCACUAAAUCCCACAAUGCUGCAAGUCGGUCAGUCCCCAUGGCCAUAGGUUUAACGACUUAACCCCAAAGUGUCCUAGUCCUUUGGCCAAACUUCUGCUGGACGCCAAUUGAGAGAUCCUGCGCCAGCUGCAGGUGCUCAACUAUUCAGCUGCAAGCACCUGGCGGACUCCCCAGGCAGUUACCACCCUGUGCUUCAAAGUGGUGCACCCUAGAAGGGAUUCUCUAACCAGUACAGCCCAGUAAGUAAUGUUCCGGCCCCCGUGUCUGCUGCAGGAACUGCGAGCAACAGCAACUUUGGACUUGCGCAGAGCCACAGAGAAGCCAGGCACCAGGGGCCUCUGCCCAACAAUCGAUUGGAGACUAUUCCCUAGCCCGGGAAAUGUUUCAAAAACCAGUGGCACCUCAACUUGAGAUGCGUUUACCAGCCUUCUGAAGUUGAGAGCUUGGGCUCAGUCAGUAUUAAAUGGUUUUCUAUGCAUGCGUUUUGUAUGUAUUUUGCCAUGUAUUUGUGAAUCCUGGAUCUUUCAUGUUGCACGAGUGGUAAAGCUGUCUUGCCUGUAUAUUAAUAUUGAGAAUAAAGGACCGUGUGACAU
rnacentral:lncRNA from 1 species